CAAUGUUGAAUAGAGUGAAUCUCUUUUGAUCGAAAAAUUUAUCUGAAAUAAAUAUACUUGGAUAGUUUGAAAUGAUCAACUGAGUUCCCGAGAAAUUUUACGAGAAAGCUCCUUGACAGAAAUGGCCAUUAAUGAUUUAAUGAAUGCGUUAAAAUCUGAGAGACAUAGUAGACUGCAUAUAGUAUGGGCACGUCUAAGUAAUAUGACAGAUUUCGACGGUCGCCUGUCGUAUUCGAACUCUGAAAUCCACGGCAUGUCCAGCAGCACAUUAUUCGCGUCCCUCAACGUCUAUAGUCACGACGAGUCCAGCACUACUCCACUCGGCCUGUCUGUUAUCUGCGGUAUAACCGCUGAGCUAAUAAAAUGUCGAGGACCUCGGCGAAAGUCACGACCCGCCGUGGUCCACACUAAUGUUGCAACGGCAGACUUUGACUGACGGCAUACUUGACUCAUGCUUCCUGUCAAGACCCAGAGUGUUGGGGAACACACAUCUUAUAAGACGUCAAUGAGUUUAGCACCCUUAAAAAAGCUUUUGGACGUCAUCAGGCAACUGAUUGUCUUUACUGACAAGACGUUCAACCGUUUUCUUAGAGGUCGUUCGGUCUCCGCCAGCAGGCGCUUAAAGGUCCCGAUGAGCGUGUAUAACCAAACACCGAAGCUUCGAAUAUGAGUAGCCAAAUCAAUAUAUUUCGCGAAAAAAUCCGCAUAUAUGCUGUCAUAGCGCAUUGCACCCAGCAGUGCUGCUGUGCGUGGGCCCUUGACACGUGUGAAAAUGUCAAAGAUAUUGAUUCAAUUAUCCGUUUCAUGGUCGUGUUUGCGAGCCAUAAUCACUGAAGGCAUUCCCUCGAAAUGAAUCCGGAGGCAAAGAAAACACGAUAGAAAAUGAAUGUAAUACUCGCUGUGAAUUCAAGAUUGUGCUGCGGGAUUGUUUCUACUCGGAGCUACAUAGCUAUAGCUGGAAGCUGCUUGGCCCGUUUGGUAAAACCCACCACACACACACACUUGGCUGUAUGAUAAAAACAUCAGGUUAACGAACCGUAAAUCAAAACAAGGUCUUAAAAGAACAAGUCUAUAUAGUCGACUUCUUUUGCGGCGGAAAAUGUUGCACUUAAAAGUCGGAGGGCGCUACUCGGUCUUCGGCGGGUUCGUGGUCUGGUGCUGGUGAGGCUGUCGCGCGGGGCCAGCGCCGUGCCGACUUAAAUCCCAAGGCAACUUGGUGAAACGCUAUAUAGUAUGAAUCGAUUAUGAAAAAGGCACCGCUGCAUAGCCGUCAUCAAUCUAGGGUGUCCGUGUUUCUGAUGUUUUGCUCGUUUUUUCUUCUUCUUCUUCUUUUUCUUUACUGAUUUACGUCGACAGGGGAUCGAGGUCGUAUAAAUAAUCGCCGACAGUAUAACAACGCGACGUGAAAAGCGGCGCGUCUCCAUCGAUUACUACCGAAUUGUUUGAGGGGCACCAGGACGACGAUGUUGAUUCACGCGAUGCAAUGAAGGGCUGGGAGAGACUCUAUACAUGUCAUCGGGAAGAAAGAGAUUAGAAUCAAAUGAAAAACAAGCCGCGAUUCGAGUAGAUGUCGUGUAAUUAUAAACGAGGCAAUGAAUAGGAACUUAAACAAAAAAUGAUAAGUGCUGCACAAUGUAACAGUAUACGACUCUUCGUCACAGCACUUGGAAUUGAGGUGCUCCUGACAAUCUUAAGACGACUCUCGUGAUUUUGCGUAAUUUGAAGAUUUGAUGAAAAAUUUUGUAUAUGACCGUAAUGAACCAAGUAGCUUUAUUAGUGGGAUUUCCUUUUUCUUAACAAGCGGGUGCCAUCUUUAGAAUUCUCCAGAGAGAUGGGACAACUCAGCAGAAACGAAUAAGGUUCACAGAGUCCAAGAGCAUAUAGCCAUAUAGCAUAGCUGAAUUCGUUCCAAAACGAAUUAUCUUGUCUGAUUCCCUUUAGUUUUGAUUCGCCCAAUUUACUUUGGAAAAUGAAUACCGACCAUCGCCGCUCGCUUUCAUUCUCACUCCAUUCACCGCUUUGCUGCAGAGGCGACAUGCGAGCGCGUAAUUAAGCCUCACACAGAAAAAUAGCUUUUGAUAUCGUCCUAGGCAGCAGCAGCUAGGCUCCUAUGUAUGUUGGGUUUCCAGGUUUCCCAGCUCACGCUAGUUCCCUUUCGUAUUAAUUGAAAAAAAUAAAUUCAGAACUGCGCAUUCUUUGACCUUGGCGACGUUAAGAGACGGUCGUGAACAGCCCUGUAGGAGGAUAUAUAUACAGCAGAGUGCAACUUCAAGUAUAGAAGGACACGACUGGCAACCAGCAACUGUGCCCUGCUGCACCUCGUAUGAAUAUAAGAAUGCAGUGCUGAACAAUAACUUUCGCCGUCCCUUUUCAAUUCAACGCUACCAUUCAGAACUAUAUUAGUCACAAACCUGCGUGAGUAUUUCUAUUGUCGAGAGGUCGAGGAACGGAGGCGCUUUCAAAACAUGUCAACGGAACGAUGGUCGUACGAACUUGGAAAAAGUAUUAAAAAAGAAUCAAAUGAAUCGUGGAAGGAAAGAACUGGAAAAAUUCAUUACAAUUCAGGGCGUCCUUGACUGUACUAUUCUAAAAAGAAAGAAAAGAGAUUUGACUUGCAUAGAGGACCUGAAAAGAAAACCCGUCAACAUCAGCACCCCAAUCAGAUGUGAUCAAGAUUCAAGAAAUCACCGAAUUAUUGAGUCUUCGUUGCUGAGGGAGAUGAUACCUUUUUCAAGUAACUUCUGAUUGCAGAAAUGGAAUUUUACGAAGCUGGAACAAGUGAACAGAUUCUAAGAUUCUAAGCGAUUUUAUGAAUUGACAAACUGAAUUCUGGGAAUCGUUAACUAUGAACUGGAACUCUAGGACAUGCAUAAUCGCAGCUAUAAUAUAUAUCACCCAGCGUCUCUGUACUUCGCUACUCCUCCGCAUCAGUAUCCCCAGCUUUUAGUGCAAUAUAAGCAACACCUCGUCAAUCUUCAACAACUAUGGCACGCCGAAAGAGUCACAAACAAAAUGUUUAAAUAAAAAAAAAAAAGUUUCGCCACAACGCUACCUAGCGGUCAAAUAUAGAACUGCAUGCAAUAUUCCCUUUUCUUGCCCCAAAACGCGAAAUUUUCUUCGCUUAGUCGCUUAUUCGUCAGAACGUGAGAAUUUGUAACACACGUAAUUUAUCAUUUCAUCUGAUGAGUCAACAAUCAACGUUAAGUUAGCUUCGAAAAUUUUACCAAUGAUUCAUAGUCAGAGUAAACGUGAAAGUCGUGCAACCUACCGUCAACUAUUUUGUUCCAACUCAUUGUAUUCUACUGAAUGUGUCAUCAAAAUGAUACAGGAUUAAUCUUAAUUAUCGGCUGUUUCUAUUGAACUUGCUAGAUCACCGACCCCAGCAUGGAACAUCUUAUCGAGAAUCUCACUCCAUCUUAUAGAGAAUCUUGAAUAACUGAUUUGUGGUUUCAUGUUUCUAAAUUUGCAUGACUGACUAUAUGAAAACACAGUUAUGUCCAAGAAAAGGACUUACAGUCAACAAGAUUUCUUGUUUGCUAACCCGUUGGCUGCUACCCAUGAAUCUUCCUAUUUUUCAACAACAAAAAAAGAGGUUAAAUAUUGUGAUCAUGCUAUCAUCAUUAUGUUGCCUAUAAGACCAAAUGUGGGGCAUAUGGUUAUCCCUCCAAAAUAAGGCAAUGACCACACGUUCAACGCGGAUCAUCGCUUUGUCAUCGAACUUGACUCAUUCCAUCUUCUGGAUUGCUUAGGAAAGCUGAUUGGUGUUAUUCUGUGUAACUUCAU